UUCCGCAUGGAUCCGACUCCAUCCUCCCAGCUGCUCACCCAUGGAUCUAACUCAAAAAAAAAGCCAUCCGGAUAUCCCGCGGCCAGCCAGGAUAGCAUCCCGAACAACCACCCAGUCGCUUCUUCUUCCGCUCAUCUCUUUCCGCUUCUUCCACGCGUCCAGCUCGUCUUCAUCAGCACCAGCUUCUUCGGAUCAUCUCCCACGGAUAAGCUCCAAUCCAGUUGCAGCCGCAUCCAUUCCGGGAUACAAUCAAGUUCAGCCGUCCACAGAUGAAAUCUCGCUUCCAAGUUCCUCCCACAUCCCCUGUUUUCGGAUUAUCUCUCUCAACCGUGAGCAUCCACGCCAUCCUCUGCAUCCUUAUCUUUGAUUCGAAAGAGGGGAGGAAAGAGAAGUGGGCAGGCUAUAAAAAGGGAGUUGAUUCAUUCCAUCUUCACCACCGGGGAUUGCUCCCAUUCCUCCUUCUUCCCCAUCGAAGGAUCAGCAAUCUUUUCUCAGGUGACUUCCCACAGAAUGCAUGAGAGAGAUAAUAGUUUGGGCAUUUCGGGAAUAACUUUCUAUAUAAAAAAAUGAAGUGCUGAGAGGGAGUUUUCUUCGAUGGGAGUCGCCGGAGGAAGAAAGAAAGAAGAGCUGGUCGCGAUGGAAGCCUUCUCCACCACUGCUGCUGUCGCCCACGACUCCAUGGAAGGCUGAUCUCCUCUCCAGGGCUGGAUGCAACCCUAACAAAG
rnacentral:lncRNA from 1 species